GGAUUGCUUGCUGGCUUAUUGCAGUACCACUAUAUAUACUUAUGUCCAUUUGGAAGCCUGAGCACAUGCCGUAGGUUCAGAACCGUGUUAGGCUAAUGGCUUCCAUUCACUGGGCGCUGCUACUCUUUCUUGUACAACUCCCCAUACUGGCCACCUCCAGCGCCCACAGUGAUGGUAACCUCACACUGUGGUGCCAUCCAGACCAGGCUGCAGCGCUUCUCCAACUAAAGCAAUCCUUCUUUGCUGCAGAAACAACCGCUACUAUCCUCCCGUCAUGGCAAAAUGGCACCAAUUGCUGUCUCUGGGAGGGCAUUAUCUGUGAUGCUUCUUUUGGUCUUGUGACUGUACUAGACCUCAGUGGGUAUGGCCUAAACAGUUAUGGCUUGGACCCUGCGCUCUUCAGCCUCAAAUCCCUCCGACGUCUCGAUCUUAGCAUGAAUUCUUUAGGAGAUUACAGCUACAACAUCACCACUGCUGAGUUUGAGAGGCUUGCUCUGCUAACUCAUCUCAAUUUCUCCAACUCGGGCUUGGAUGGCCAGAUACCUAUUGGCAUCAGCAAACUCGUUAACCUUGUCUCCUUGGAUCUUUCAAGUCACAGAGUUUCCGAUUAUGAUGAUCCUACCUCUGCAGGUGACAGUUUUAAUCAUCUUCGGGAGCCCAAUUUUGAGAUCCUGGUAGCGAACCUCAACAAUCUAAGAGAGCUCUACCUUGAUGGAGUGCAGAUAAUGUCUAGCAGCGGUGAAGAUUGGGGCAAAGCUCUUGCAAAAUAUGUUCCUCAUCUUCAGGUACUUAGCUUGGAGGGAUGCAGGCUGAAUGGUCCUAUUCAUCAUUCCCUCUCGAGCAUCCAUUCUCUUGUUGCGAUCAACCUUGGAUCCAAUGAUGCUGGUCCGAUUCCAGAGUUCUUCGCAGAUUUUCCCAAUCUAAGUGAGCUUCAACUUUCGGAUAUGAAUCUUCAGGGGUGGUUCCCUCAAAGAUUUUUUCAACUCAAAAAUUUAAGGGUCCUAGAUUUGUCCUCAAACCCGAAUCUCUCGGGGCAUUUGCCAAACUUUCCUCAUGCAAGUUCUCUAUAUACUUUGAGGCUAGAGGGGACCAACUUCUCCUCUGCUAAACCAAGUUCUUCUGGCAAUUUCAAGCUGUUGAGGGAGUUAACUCUUGACGGGAAAUUUCUAUCGAUGGAUUUUCUCUCUUCAUUUGGUGUACUUGGGUCUUUACGCCAGUUGAAGGUUUCUCUGAUGGACUCACAUAAAGAGUUGGGAUCAAUUUUGUCAUGGAUUGGAGACCUCAGGAACUUAACGAGCUUGGAACUCUAUGUGUGCGACUUCUCUUGGACUAUGCCUUCCUCUAUUGGUAACCUGAAGGCCUUGAGAAGCUUGACAAUGUUUGAUUGCAACCUCCCUAGGCCCAUAUUGUCUGAAAUUGGAAAUCUCAUUGGCUUGCAAAAGUUGAAACUAUCUGACUGCAAAUUACAUGGUUCAAUGGCAUCUUCAGUGCACAACCUCACAAAUUUAAGAAGCUUGUAUAUUGGGAGUUGUGAUGCUUGCGGAACAAUGCCAGCUGCAAUUGGCUAUCUUAGAAACUUGAGAAGGUUGGAGAUCUCCGGUUCUGACUUUUCUGGGUCCAUACCAUCUACUAUUGGCAAUCUGACUAACUUGAAAAGCAUGGUUAUUUUGUAUAGUCAGCUUUCUGGGUCCAUACCAUCUACCAUUGGCAAUCUGACUAACUUGAAAAGCAUGGUUAUUUGGUAUAGUCAGCUUUCUGGGCCAAUACCUUAUGCAAUUGGGCAACUCAAGGAAGCCUAGCUAUUUUUGGCGGGAACAUUUCUGGGAGGAUACCAGGUUCACUUGUCAAUAUAACUCAACUGACAGAACUGGAUAUCUCCUAUACUCAUGUGAGCGGUCAUAUUCCGGCACCUCUUUUCGCUCUUCCAAAAUUAAGGUACUUGAAUCUUGGUUGGAACCAACUUUCUGGUCCUAUAGAAGAGUUCGACGCGCCAUCUUCAUGCUUACAGCUCGUGAGUUUGAGCAGAAAUUCAUUGGCAGGCAAGUUUCCCAAGUCAUUCUUCCAACUUGCAGAGUUGGUUCAUCUAGAAAUCAACUUGAACAACUUUGAAGAUUCAGUGGAUCUUUCAUCAUUUGGGAGGUUAAGAAAGCUCACUGGUUUGGAUCUUUCACACAAUAAGUUGUCUGUUAUGAUUGACGAAGGCAAUAACUCUCUGUCUACCUCUCUUUUUGGACUGGAUGAACUGGGACUAGCAUGUUGCAAUAUAACCAAAAUUCCUAGUUUUUUGACACAUCUUGACAGAAUGGUUUAUCUAGACCUUUCUUGCAACAAAAUCACUGGAGACAUACCAAAGUUGAUAUGGGAGAGAUGGAACAAUAGCCUUUUGCAACUAAAUCUUUCACACAACAUGUUCACCGGUAUGCAACUUACUUCAUAUGCUCUUCCAUUCAGUAGGUCCCUGGAAGUGUUUGAUCUUAGUUCCAAUAGGCUGCAGGGACAGAUCCCUAUGCCAGACUUAUCAUCAGAAUAUUUGGAUUAUUCACACAACUUUUUCUCUUCUGUUCUCCCAAACUUCACGUUGUAUCUCAGCAACACCAACUAUCUCAGUAUGUCCAACAAUAGUAUAAAUGGAUAUAUACCAGAAACAGUUUGCAAUUCCAGCUUGGAUGUCCUUGACCUAUCACAUAACAACUUUAGCGGGCCGAUUCCGUCCUGUUUGAUAGAAAAUGCUCGACGGAGCGUAUUAAAUUUGAGAGAGAAUCACUUUGAAGGGACGUUGCCAUCCAAUAUUACAAGUGAAUGCACUUUCCAGACAAUAGAUUUACAUGACAAUAAGAUUGAAGGACAAAUUCCGAGGGGACUUUCUAACUGCAGUUAUUUGGAGGUUCUUGACAUCGGAAACAACCGAAUAGUUGAUACUUUCCCAUCUUGGCUAGGGGAGCUUUCCAAUCUGUAUGUUCUUAUCUUAAGAUCCAACCGAUUUUAUGGCUCCAUAGAUGGUGAUAUUGGGAAUCACAAAUCAAGAGGGUACUUCUCUAGCUUGCAAAUUCUUGAUCUCGCCUUGAACAACUUCUCCGGCAAAAUGAAUUCAGAAUGGUUUGGUCAGUUGAAAGCAAUGAUGGCCAACUUCAAUGGUUCUGGAGAUAUUGUCCGUGCUACAAACUUAAAUGGUAUGGCGGAAUACUACCAAGAUUCUACUGAGAUCACAUACAAGGGGUCCUACGUGACAUUUGUAAGGAUCCUGACCACUUUAAAAGCAAUUGACCUUUCAAAUAAUAGAUUGGAAGGUACCAUUCCUGAGUCAGUUGGACGGCUUGUUUCACUGCGUGUACUGAACAUGUCACACAAUGGAUUCACGGGAGAAAUUCCAACCCAGCUUGGCGGUGUGACUGAUCUAGAGUCACUAGACCUGUCUUGCAACCAACUUUCUGGGGAGAUUUCACAGGAACUCACAAAUCUGACCUCUCUAACCACCCUGAACUUAUCUGACAACCAGUUGGUGGGGAAGAUACCGCAGUCACGCCAGUUCCCCACAUUUGACAGCAAUUCAUUCGAAGGGAAUUUGGGACUGUGUGGACCGCCAUUCUCCAACCCCUGUGGCGUUUCACUUGCUCCUCCAGGCAUGGCACGCAUGGAGAAGUCUUCUAAUGUGGAUAUCAUCCUGUUUCUCUUUGUCGGGCUGGGCUUCGGUGUUGGAUUUGCAGCUGCCAUUCUGAUGAGAUGGGGUCGAAUCGGAAAAUGGUUUGUUAAAUCUGCAAGAGCUUUGUGGAGGACUUGAUCUGAUCUGGGAGACUAUUCCCUGGUGCAAGGAUUCUGUCCUGGAAGAGAGCUUAUUCCUCUGCAGCAGUCGUUGCUUCUGAAGAAGUACUGUAAGUAUAGGCUUUUUAUCUACUUGUAUACUUUUUGUGCUGUGCUUCAUGUAUUAAGCCCCUGCUGCACCUUAUCUUCCGUGGUGUACGCUAUACAAUAUUGCUUGGGGUUAGAUUAGAUGGCUGAACAUCUUUGUAAUCCAUCUCCUGUAUCUGUUUGUUGUUACCUCCAGUUUUAAGUGUGAUCAUGCAUAUGUUUAGCCUGGAGAUGAAUCUUGUAACCAUUAUCUUAUAUUGUUUGAGUAUAAAUAAAUGCCACGCGGCCUGACAAGGGUUAUACGCU
rnacentral:rRNA from 1 species